rnacentral:rRNA from 1 species
AAACUUUCAACAACGGAUCUCUUGGUUCUGGCAUCGAUGAAGAACGCAGCGAAAUGCGAUAAGUAAUGUGAAUUGCAGAAUUCAGUGAAUCAUCGAAUCUU